rnacentral:rRNA from 1 species
GACGAACGCUGGCGGCGUGCUUAACACAUGCAAGUCGAACGGAAAGGCCCUUCGGGGUACUCGAGUGGCGAACGGGUGGGUAACACGUGGGUGAUCUGCCCUGCACUUUGGGAUAAGCCUGGGAAACUGGGUCUAAUACCGAAUAGGACCGCGCGCUUCAUGGUGUGUGGUGGAAAGCUUUUGCGGUGUGGGAUGGGCCCGCGGCCUAUCAGCUUGUUGGUGGGGUAAUGGCCUACCAAGGCGACGACGGGUAGCCGGCCUGAGAGGGUGACCGGCCACACUGGGACUGAGAUACGGCCCAGACUCCUACGGGAGGCAGCAGUGGGGAAUAUUGCACAAUGGGCGCAAGCCUGAUGCAGCGACGCCGCGUGAGGGAUGACGGCCUUCGGGUUGUAAACCUCUUUCACCAGGGACGAAGCGCAAGUGACGGUACCUGGAGAAGAAGCACCGGCCAACUACGUG